rnacentral:tRNA from 1 species
UAGGAGUUUAGGUUAUUCAGACCAGAGGCCUUCAAAGCCUCAAGAAAACACACACUGUUUAACUCCUG